CGGGACGUGAUUGUCCCGAAGAACCGAUUAAAAAUUCAUGCAACCCAGAAGAGCUCACGAGACCAGCACCGCCAGAGGCGCUAGUGUAUUUUACUCACAUUUUGGUAAAUUUAUUUGAAAGUGUUUUGGUAAGUGUAGACUUUUUUGCUGUGAGUUUUGACAGAUUUCUGUCUGAGGUAAUAACCUCAAUCUUUGCGUUUAUUUUAUUUACGGUUCCCGGACCUAAAAAUCUGGCCAAGUUUCUCUUUCGUACACCGUCGCAGAACGAUUCCGAACUCGACCCUGGAAUCACUUAUCUCAAUCUACCCGUAAUGGUCUUAUCUUUAAAUCUUUAAAAAAUGAACAAAGCGGCUAUCCUCGAUGUGGUCUACAGUCCAGCGAAAUCGAUGCUACUGCUGAGUCGUGAAAAGUUAGCUCAAUUUUAUCGCUUGGACGGUGAAAUAGUUCUGGCGGAGGUAUACAAAGCGGAAUUUGUUACGCAAGAACUGGACCGGUGCAUGAACCACCCGCAGUACCGCAGCUACUACAGCGCUACCCCAAGGCUCGGGCUGACUAGAGUUCAAACGUGUUGGUGCUAUAUGCCCUGCGUCGGAAGUGCAAAGUGCUGGCCGAGCUGUGGAUAAUGCGAGGCCAAAACCGUCACCGGGACUAAUACACUGCGGUGAUGGAAAGUUACGGCAAACGAGAGUUACCAGGGAAGCUCUGGAGGAGUUUAACUUCACCGCUAUCGGAGAACUCCGCCUUUGGAUCACAUUUAUCUUUGCAUUUAUCCGGAACAUCACCGACAAACGCUCCCUAAUGAAGCUGGACGAUGGAGCAAGUUGCCACUCAAUUACCCAUUGCAACCGGACACGAUGAUCUGUUUGCGUUCCGCGAAGUCAUAGCGGAAUCGCAAACUUGUCGACUACUUUGUUACAAUUCCCCAUCGAGAAAGACAAUGGAACAGCAUAUAAUUUCAGCAGGGCUUUCAAGGCUUCACAGCACGAAAAUAAUCGAAUGCCAUUAGUGUUACCUAAUUUUACGUGGAAUCAAGGCACAAACCUUCUGCACCGCACAGUAAAAGUGUAAAAGUAGAAUUGGCAGCUCCUUAGAAGAUAACGAAUACGCUGGAUGUACCGAAAUCGUCCCAACAACAUGACGACUCGAAAUGUGAAAGAAACAUCGUCAAGUAACUAGUCCAUUUCAUAAAUGUAGUUGAUUAAUAUAAAUAUGUCUAUCGAACACAUUGAAGACCCGAAAUUCAUGAACAAGUUUUUACAGAAAGAUUUAAAAA